GAUGAACGCUGGCGGUAUGCUUAACACAUGCAAGUCGAACGGACUCUUCGGAGUUAGUGGCGGACGGGUGAGUAACGCGUGAGAAUCUGGCUUUGGGUUCGGGACAACCACUGGAAACGGUGGCUAAUACCGGAUGUGCCGAGAGGUAAAAGAGAAAUUGCCUGAAGAUGAGCUCGCGUCUGAUUAGCUAGUUGGUGAGGUAAAGGCUCACCAAGGCAGCGAUCAGUAGCUGGUCUGAGAGGAUGACCAGCCACACUGGGACUGAGACACGGCCCAGACUCCUACGGGAGGCAGUAGUGGGGAAUUUUCCGCAAUGGGCGAAAGCCUGACGGAGCAAUACCGCGUGAGGGAAGAAGGCUCUUGGGUUGUAAACCUCUUUUCUUAGGGAAGAACAAAAUGACGGUACCUAAGGAAUCAGCAUCGGCUAACUCCGUG
rnacentral:rRNA from 1 species